AGAGGGUGACAUGCCCGUUCUCCUUGCCACGUCGGAUGUCGUGUGGGCAUCUCCUCAGAGUCGGUCUGCUUGAAAGUGCAGACUUAAGUGGGUGGUAGAUUCCAUCUAAGGCUAAAUACAACCACAUGACCGAUAGCGCACAAGUACCAUGAGGGAAAGGUGAAAAGAACUUUGAAAAGAGAGUUCAAGAGUACGUGAAACUGAGCUGAUCUAAACGGACAGAAUCGAAAAGUGCGAACUGCCCUGGUACAGGCGAUCCUGAAGUCGAGGCCGAAAAUAGCUUGGGAAGACAAAGUCAUGGAAACGGAUGGCUAGUAGGCUGAGACGACGGGAGAAGCUGCAAUCCAGACUUAGUAGCAUGUCGCGGCUCGUUGGGAGGCCGGUCUUAAGGCCCGCGGUGGAGACUUCACUUAUUCUUCGGGAUGGUGUUGAUCCGCGGUGUCCCGGCCGGCGCCCGACGGUGUUGUACGGACGGAGCCCCAUUCCGCGUCUUCGCGGCAAGGUUCCGUCGGUCCGCGGCACUUCUGCUUUCGAUCCCUAUCCGUCCCGUCUUGAAACACGGACCAAGGAGUCUAGCAUGUGCGCGAGUCAUUGGGUCUACGAAACCUAAAGGCGAAAUGAAAGUGAAGGAACGCUUAAGUGUUCUUAGGGGUGAUGGUCGCGCUUUCAUGCCGACCCGCAACCCCGGGGCGUCGAUUCCUCUUGAGGAGCGACGCACCUAGAGCGUACAUGUUGGUACCCGAAAGAUGGUGACCUAUGCCUGGCCAGGGUGAAGCCAGGGGAAACCCUGGUGGAGGCCCGAAGCAAUUCUGACGUGCAAAUCGAUUGUCAGAGCUGGGUAUAGGGGCGAAAGACUAAUCGAACCAUCUAGUAGCUGGUUCCACCUGAAGUGUCCCUCAGGACAGCUGGCCUUCAACAAGUCUUAUCUGGUAAAGCGAAUGAUUAGAGGCCUUGGGGUCGAAACGAUCUCAACCUAUUCUCAAACUUUAAAUGGGUAAGAGCAAUGGCUUGCUUCGUUGAAGCGAUUGAAGCCUGGAUUGGAUGGCUCAGUGGGCCAAUUUUGGUAAGCAGAACUGGCGCUGUGGGAUGAACCAAAUGCGGAGUUAAAGCGCCUAAGUCGUAGCUGUGAUACCAUGAAAGGCGUUGCUUGCUCGAGACAGCAGGACGGUGGCCAUGGAAGUCGGAAUCCGCUAAGGAGUGUGUAACAACUCACCUGCCGAAGCAACUAACCCUUAAAAUGGAUGGCGCUGAAGCUACGCGCUUACACUCCGCCGUCAGUGCAAAUGGCCUUCGGGUUCUUGACGCAUUGAUGAGUAAGGUGGUCGUAUGGGUGUGCGUAGAAGGGUCAUGGCGUGAGCCUGCCUGGAGCCGCCCAUAGUGCAGAUCUUGGUGGUAGUAGCAAAUACUCUGGAGAGUCCUUGGAGGGCUGAUGUGGAGAAGGGUUCCGCGACAACAGUGCUUGCUCGCGAGUUAGCCGGUCCUAAGCCAACAGAGAAAUCUCGACCAACGCAGGGCCUUUGGGUCCCGUUGAUGGCGAAAGGGCAGCCUGUAAAUAUUCAGGAGCCCCGGUCGGAACCGUAUCUCAGGUCCCAUUACCUGUCACGGUGACGUGAAUUGCCCCAAAGACGCCCUCGGGCGCCACCAGGAGAGUUUUCUUUUCUCUUGAAGCUCGCGUACUCCAUGGAAUUCCUUAACGGAGAGAUAUGGAGCGGCUAUGCGAAGAGCGCCGCACUUGCUGCGGUGUUGGUGGUGGCUCCUGGGACCUUGAAAAUUUGGGUGAGGGCCACGAGUGCCUCCGACCGGGAACGUACCGUCCGCAUCAGGACUCCGAGGUCAAAAGCCUCUAGUCAAUGAAUUAAUGUAGGUAAGGGAAGUCGGCAAAAUGGAUCCGUAACUUCGGAAUAAGGAUUGGCUCUGAGGUCCUGGAUGUGCCAGGCUUGGAUGGAAGCUGUGAGCGGUGUGGGCCCCCAAAGGCCUCGUGCUGACGGGUAGACCCCACGCUUGCAAACGGCGGAAGUCCCGGCUUUUAUGCAGUUGUGUGUGUAGUGGCCAUCGCUAAAAGGACAACUCAGAACUGGCGCUGACCAGGGAAGUUCGACUGUCUAAUUAAAACAAAGCAUCGCGAUGGCGCCCAAAGCGUGAUGACGCGAUGUGAUUUCUGCCCAGUGCUCUGAAUGUCAAUGUGAAGAAAUUCAAUGAAGCGCGGGUAAACGGCGGGAGUAACUAUGACUCUCUUAAGGUAGCCAAAUGCCUCGUCAUCUAAUUAGUGACGCGCAUGAAUGGAUUAACGAAACUUCCACUGUCCCUAUCUACUCUUCAGCGAAACCGCAGGCAAGGGAACGGACUUGCAAUUAUCAGUGGGGAAAGAAGACCCUGUUGAGCUUGACUUUAGUUUGGCUGCGUGCAACGACAUGAGAGGCGUAGCAUAAGUGGGAGGCCUUUUGGUCGACAGUGAAAUACCACUACUUUCAUUGUUGUUGUACUUACUCAAUUAAGCGGAAGGCCCACCUAGUGGGUGACUUUCGGGACAAGCAUACCGGCGCUGAGAAUGGUCCCUCGGCAGACCCGGUGUGUGAUCCGAUUUGAGGACACAGCCAGGCGGGGAGUUUGACUGGGGCGGUACAUCCAUCAAAGAAUAACGUGGGUGUCCUAAGACCAGCUCAGUGAGGCCAGAAACCUCGCGUAGAGUAUAUGGGCAAAAGCUGGUUUGAUCCUGAUGUUCAGUAUGCACAGGGACGGCGAAAGCCAGGCCCAGCGAUCCUUUUGGCUUGAAGAAUCUUCAGCAAGAGGUGUCAGAAAAGUUACCACAGGGAUAACUGGCUUGUGGCAGCCAAGCGUUCAUAGCGACGUCGCUUUUUGAUCCUUCGAUGUCGGCUCUUCCUAUCAUUGUGAAGCAGAAUU
rnacentral:rRNA from 1 species